UACGAAGGGUGCAAACGUUGCUCGGAAUUAUUGGGCGUAAAGGGUGCGUAGGCGGUGGGGUAAGUUGGAUGUGAAAUCUUGGGGCUUAACCUCAAAAUUGCAUUCAAUACUGCUCCGCUCGAGUUCUGUAGAGGAGAUUGGAAUUUACGGUGUAGCAGUGAAAUGCGUAGAUAUCGUAAGGAACGCCAGUGGCGAAAGCGAAUCUCUGGGCAGCAACUGACGCUGAGGCACGAAGGCCAGGGGAGCAAACGGG
rnacentral:rRNA from 1 species